UACGAAGGGGGCUAGCGUUGCUCGGAAUCACUGGGCGUAAAGCGCACGUAGGCGGCCAUUCAAGUCAGAGGUGAAAGCCCAGGGCUCAACCUUGGAACUGCCUUUGAAACUAGAUGGCUAGAAUUCUGGAGAGGUCAGUGGAAUUCCGAGUGUAGAGGUGAAAUUCGCAGAUAUCGGGAGGAACACCUAUGGCGAAGGCAGCUCGCUGGGACGUUACUGACGCUGAGACGCGGAAAGCGUGGGGAGCAAACAGG
rnacentral:rRNA from 1 species